UACAGAGGGUGCAAGCGUUAAUCGGAAUUACUGGGCGUAAAGCGCGCGUAGGUGGUUUGUUAAGUUGGAUGUGAAAGCCCCGGGCUCAACCUGGGAACUGCAUCCAAAACUGGCAAGCUAGAGUACGGUAGAGGGUGGUGGAAUUUCCUGAGUAGCGGUGAAAUGCGUAGAUAUAGGAAGGAACACCAGUGGCGAAGGCGACCACCUGGACUGAUACUGACACUGAGGUGCGAAAGCGUGGGGAGCAAACAGG
rnacentral:rRNA from 1 species